UCCCUGACAGUCUAAUAGUUAAGACUCUGCGUUUCCACUGCAGAGAGUAUGGGUUCAAUCCCUGGUCAAGGAA
rnacentral:tRNA from 1 species